UGCUUAACACAUGCAAGUCGAACGGAAAGGCCCUGCUUGCAGGGUACUCGAGUGGCGAACGGGUGAGUAACACGUGGGUGAUCUGCCCUGCACUUCGGGAUAAGCCUGGGAAAUUGGGUCUAAUACCGGAUAGGAGCCAUUUUUAGUGUGAUGGUUGGAAAGUUUUUUCGGUGUAGGAUGAGCUCGCGGCCUAUCAGCUUGUUGGUGGGGUAAUGGCCUACCAAGGCGGCGACGGGUAGCCGGCCUGAGAGGGUGGACGGCCACAUUGGGACUGAGAUACGGCCCAGACUCCUACGGGAGGCAGCAGUGGGGAAUAUUGCACAAUGGGCGCAAGCCUGAUGCAGCGACGCCGCGUGGGGGAUGACGGCCUUCGGGUUGUAAACUCCUUUCGCUAGGGACGAAGCUUUUUGUGACGGUACCUAGAUAAGGAGCACCGGCUAACUACGUGCCAGCAGCCGCGGUAAUACGUAGGGUGCGAGCGUUGUCCGGAAUUACUGGGCGUAAA
rnacentral:rRNA from 1 species